rnacentral:rRNA from 1 species
AUUGAACGCUGGCGGCAGGCCUAACACAUGCAAGUCGAGCGGUAGAGAGAAGCUUGCUUCUCUUGAGAGCGGCGGACGGGUGAGUAAUGCCUAGGAAUCUGCCUGGUAGUGGGGGAUAACGUUCGGAAACGAACGCUAAUACCGCAUACGUCCUACGGGAGAAAGCAGAGGACCUUCGGGCCUUGCGCUAUCAGAUGAGCCUAGGUCGGAUUAGCUAGUUGGUGAGGUAAUGGCUCACCAAGGCGACGAUCCGUAACUGGUCUGAGAGGAUGAUCAGUCACACUGGAACUGAGACACGGUCCAGACUCCUACGGGAGGCAGCAGUGGGAAUAUUGGACAAUGGGCGCAAGCCUGAUCCAGCCGAUGCCGCGUGAGUGAUGAAGGCCUUAGGUUGUAAAGCUCUUUUGUCCGGGUAAGAUAAUGACUGUACCGGAAGAAU